AUAUCAUUUGACACUUCAUCAGGAUGAUGGCCUGUUUACUGUAUGCAAAUAAUCCCUGAAUUAUGCAUGAAUAAUUACAAGUUUGCGUAUUGCUUUCCUGAACUGGCAUAUUGCCAUGUAAAAUUAGCUUCACUUUAACGUGAGCACAAAAACACGCCGACACAUCCAAUUAAACCUGAAGGAAGAGCUCACCUUGAGGGGAGCACAAAGCAGUGAGCCACGGCUGGGAAAGAGCAAAGGAGCCAGCACAGGAACCCCAGGACAGAUGAAGAUUGCUGCCCUGUAAUUGCAGGCAUUCUUGGCUCUGCUCCAUGUUUGGCAGCUCCUGUGUGUAACCACCCAGCUGUGGUAGAAACCAUCCUGUGGCCACCUGCUCUCCCCAGGUGUCAGCUUAUACUGCAGUCACCACCCAAAUCCUGCUGUGGAUCUGGACUUUGGUGCUCAUUCUCCAGCAAAGCAGCCGUGCUGAAGCAAAGAGAAGAUCCAGAAGAGCAAAUGAGACAAGGCAACAAACACUGCAGCAUGGGCAGGUGGGGUUCUACUGAAACAGUGCUCGCCUGACUUGGGCACAAAAGCAGAGGCUUUCAUGGGAAUGUUCAUUUCCCUUGCUGAGACUCCUAACAAAGUACAAAAAGAAGAGAAGAUCAGCAUCAUCAGGAAAGCAGACUUCAUCUUGACAGGAGGCAGUUUCUGUCUGUUUGUUUGUUGCAGAGCCAUGUACAAGAGACAGGAGCCUGAUGAGCACUUGGGGCAGGGAGAGACCCUGUGGAGGUUUAAUCUUGGCCUCUGAACCCCCCACUCAGAAUCCUGUCCUCCAAGCAGACUCAGUUCCUACCCAUUUCCACAGGAAGAAUAUCCACAGGAAGAGAAAACCCACCUGAUUUUCCCGUCUGGCUCUGUGUUUGAUAUGGAGCUAGGAAGAGUGGUUGGUAAAAUUAGCUGUGUUGCUAAGCCAUCAAAAUGCAGCUGAGAGGAUAACAAUGAUGAGCCCAGCUGUGCCCCUCGUGCUCCCACAGAGCUGCUCCUGGUCCUUGCUUCAUCACUGCCUUUUGUCUCUCCUCGUCGAGGAGCACAUAAAUUAUGUGAGAGGCAAUAAAACUGUUGUAAAGCUUAUGAUAGAAAUGGGCAUAUUUGUCUGGAUGUAAUCAACAGAGAUUUUCUCUGUAUAAUAACAAUAAUAAAGAUUCAGCUUUGGAGUGAUUUAGCAUGAGUAUAUAAGGUAUUCUAGUUGACUUUGAGAUGAAAUAUAGAAAAACUCACGUCCACUGUGUGUUGGGAGGAACAGCCCACUACAGUAAACAAGGCACUAUUUCUUUAGUUGUCUUGCAGGAUUAUUGGCAGGUAAGACACAUGUUUAGUUUCUGCUUUUAUAUUCUCUGUUAUGAUAGUGUCUGCAUCAGCAUCUUUGUGUUUCAGAAGUGCCAUAAAUAAUUCAUAUCUUUAUUUAAAUAAAUGUGGGUUUAUUUCCAAUUGGCAUGGAAAAGGCCUUUAUUUUCUGUAUCAUUGUGCACAGUUGUCAUACCAGCCCCUUAUUUCAAAAUGUUUGUGAGUCACUCAGAACACAUGAGUUAAUCAAAUUGCAGCAAACUUAGCCUGGAAUUUAAUUAGAUGAUCAACAAUUGUAGUUCUGUACUUUCCUAAUAGAAUGUAUCUCAUUGCAGACAGUUUACAAGGCAUUGUCACCUCGCCUGAACCCAUUAUUCUUGAAACAACAUGACAAAACAUUAAGUAAUUCUGUUGAUUGUGCUCUGUUGAGUAACAGGGGUCCUUGAGAGUCAUUCUAGACUAGUUAGUGAUGUGUAACUCAGCCGAGCAGGAAGGAACAUAACCCUGGCAAUCCUUGCUCCUGUGGGAUGGGAACCACAUUAAAAAUUAUCUCCGUGGUCAGCAAGCACGGCCUGGGUAGAGACAGGAUUCACUUGGUUAUGUGAAGAGAAAUCAGAUGGGUAAGUCAGAGCAACCAGAUGUGGGAGGAAUCUCCUGCCACACACACAGCUGGAACACAGACCAUUCAUAUUCCUGUUAGUUUUUGCUGAGCUAGAAAGAUGGAUAUCUACAUGAAUUAGAAGAUAAUAAAAAAUUCCACAGAUUAAGGCAUGCAGGGUAGCUUAGAGCAGAAUAGAAGCAGAGGCAGGAAAAAUCAGCACAGCCUAGAGGAAUAUAAAUCAAUGGAGAUUGCAAAAAAAAAAAAAAAAGCAAAGAGGAGCACGUGCCUUGAUUUCAAACUGCAAAGCCAAAAAAGAGCACAAGAAAAAAAAAAAAACCCUGCUGACCAACUUGUGAGGAAACAAAGAGUCUUCCAGCAUAUUUAGUUUUUGUGUUUCCAGGGAAAAAACAGUGACUCGGAUUUCCAUAACUUUCUCUUCUGUUUUUAUGAUCAUGGGAAAUUGUUUCACAGUUUUUCUUAUAGGUUUUUCUGGACUUUUCAUUUAAGUCUCUUUGUGAGCGUGGAUAUGGAGUUAUGGAUAGGAGUGCUUCUAAUAAAAUUUACUCACAUCCAGAUCUCCUGGUAAGAGAAGUAAACUUCUCUUCUUACUCACUGGUAAGAAGAAGUAAAACCUGGGUCUUGUUGUGAGUCGACCUGAAACCCUGCCAGGAGCAGGGUGUCAGAGAGGAGCCAUUCCUUGGAUACCAUCCCUCCAGCUGGGGUGGAGCCCAAGCUGCAAAUAAAGUAGGUGUGGAAACAGGGAGCUGCUGCCUCUCACUGGGUGCCUCUGAACUCUUUAAUCUUUUGAUUUAUUGUGCACAGUGUGUCUGCUUCUCCUCUUCUUGAAAUAUUAUAACUUCUCUUCCUCUGCUAAUACCCUUAACCUAAAAUGUGUCAAAUGGUCUAAUAUUAUUGAUUAUACAUGCCAUCGACCUUUCUUAUUUAGCAGAGUAUCAGUGUCCCUUGUUUGUCUAACAAAGGUUAAGUUUAACCUUCAGGGCACAGUGCAAAGAACAUCUGUUUAUUCAGACUUCUAGCCUGGGGUCUGAGAAGCACAGUUUGUAUUUGGGACCUCUGGCUGACAUUUGUUAACUCAGUUUGCAUGCAUUUUAAUGUGGUUUCUCAUGCCCCAAGGCAGUUGUUUAGAAUAUAAUACGAUGGGAUAUAAAUAUAUAUAUAUGGCCAAAUGAUUAUUUUCCAAGUUAUUCCUGCUGGAAUAUGAAGGAGAAAAUGAGUUUCUGAAAUCUUAAAACCCUCAGAGGUCACCAAGAUUUUCAUCAAGUUUGGGAUGUGGCAGUGGGCACACUGGAAGUCAGCAGCAUAUGAAGCAGAGAAAGAGGAAAAACACCAAAUCUGACUGGUCUGAGCCUCAGUGGGAGAAGCUGCUUUGGGGAGCAAUGGAUGUGUGCUGGGGCAUGGAGGAGCUCAGACCUCUGGAAAUGGAACCUCUCAGUCUCCAGAGCUCUUCUGCCUGUGCGGCUGUGGCCACACCAGUGCGUCAGUGUCAAAUUAAACUGCACAGCGUUGUGCCACGCUGGCAGCAGUGCUCGGGGUGGGGACAGGGCUGCCACGUGUCACAGGCUGCAUCCCUGCCUGGGGGACACCCGGCCCCUCCAGGGUGACCAAGCCCUGGGUCACCCUGUGAGAUCUCUCAGUCCCAUCCUCGCUGGGUGUGAUUUCUUAUCUGCCAACUCAGUUCUGCAUGAAGACUGCGAAGAAAUGUGGGUUUGCAAGACAAUCCCAUUUCCAGUAGAAAUUGUGCUGAUUUUUUUUUUUUUAUUGUUGUUAUGGUUGCAUAGAACUUCUCUUAAUGACAUUUAAAUAUGGGGCCAAACUUGAGCUGAUGGCAUCUCAUUAAAGGCAAGGGAAUAGAAAUUCAGAUGUGCAUCUUCCUCCAAGUGCUUUAUCCAGCAGCAGGAGCUUAUUAUCUGGUGUGACACUGUUAUCUGCCAGGAACUGUGUAUCUGUACCGAGCUGAAGACAGAUACAUUUAAACACAGAGGAUUCUGAGUGUUUCUGAUGACUGAGAUAACCAAAAACCUGUCUAAGGGUUCAGUACAGCUUCCUCAAUGGCAUCAAAUAUUCAAACAGGCUUCUUUAUUGGUAGGAUUAUUGCACUGCAGAAGCCAAAUGAGGCUUCUUAUGAUGCCUUAAGAAACCUAGAAAUGAAACAACACGUACUUUUGAGGUAAUAUUAGUAUACAUAGUAACAUAAAGCCUGGUCUUUACUGGAGGCCUCCAGGGGCAAAUACAGAAAAUGUCAACAAAAGCCCACCCCUAACGGGGGUGCAUACAGUUUUAUAAGUUUAUUAAAUUCGUGUAAUUGACAAAAAUCACUGAUUAGGAACACUGGUGGUGAUGCAAUUCCCCUCCAGUUCAAGGCCCUGCUAAAUCCUCUCCCCUCAGAUGGAAACUGAACCUGUUGAUGAAAAUGUGUCUCUAAGAGCUGUUUUUUGGUCUUGGGUCCCAGGGAGAACCAAGCUAGGAUAGGGGCUUUGGAAUAUAUUUUGUCUUUCUGCCUAUCAGGGCAGGGAAAAGUACUGAGAAAACUAGCUCUGGAUGCAAUUAUAGUCUACAGAGCUACAAAUAUUUGUGUAAAGAAUACAGAGAAUAUAUAAAAGAAAAAAAGGCAAAAAUCAGCACGGCAUCACUUAAUGCAAGGAUUUGUAUGCAGAGAGCUCAGAUGGAAAUGGAAGUGUGUGUGCAGAGCUCUGCCCUGCCUGUGCUACCCCUCUUGAAGCACUUCACUUUUCUCUAGCAGCGCUCCCCAAGGGAAAAAAGGAAGGCAUUGCUGUGCCCCCUUUCAGCUGUUUUCAUUCACAAGGAUUUAAAUGACAACCUCUCAGUUCUGCUCCUUUGCAGGGUUGAUCCCAUUGGCUCUGGCAGCCCCUCACUCCCUCGGUGCUGCCAGACUGGAGAUGUGCCUGCAGCCCCUCACGUGCUGCUGACAUUUCCCUGCACCCUCUCCUUGAACAUCUCCCUGGCAGCCAAAGGGCUCUGUUCCCUUUUGCUCAGGCUCCAGGUGACUGCUCUUGUGUUCUCCACCACCUUGUGGGCAAAGAACUGCUUCUUUCUCUGGAGCUGGAGCACGCUCUCAAUCUUCCUACACAGCAUCACUCUGGGAAGAAUCUCAGAAACAGGAAAGUCUUGAAUUUCUUUCUGAUAGAGCCACCUCAUGAAGCCCAAAACCAUUUAAAAGGAUGCUUCUAAUUUCCAUAUUCUAAUUUCUACCAUAACUUGCUGUGGGAAAAGUCAUCUGGGUAUUUCUCUUGAAGCAGUAAAUGGAGAUGUCUUUCAAGAUGUCCUCUGUGCCUGUUACCAUAAAUGUCAAAAACUCCUGAUGAAGUCUCCCUGGCAAGAAACCAGUUUGCUUUCAGGUGUUACUGAACAUUCUCCCCUGCAAGAAGGUCUUGUGCCUUCCUGGUCACAGGCAAGCAAGAGCAAAAGCAUUUGUCCUUGGUCUGGUAUUUAUGCAUAUAAAAUUAUCACCUCCAGAGAUGGAGUUUUUGUGAACCUUUCUUGGGAAAAGCCAUCUUAUUGCUUGGAAAUCACACACCCACGUAAGGAUGAUCAUCUGCAGUGGAGCUGUCUUUCCUCCAGCAAUAGAUGCUCAGGGAAAAAAACAAACCCACUCUUCAGAGGGGAACAGAGGCAAAAUAUUCAUCCCAAUGUGAAAGGGACAGGAAGGAUCUCCACAGAAAAGAUGUGAGUGCAGGAGGCAGCACAGCUGAACCCUCAUCCUGGGUGGGUGCUGCACUGCAGGGAGCUCUGGGUUCUGCUCAAAUUGCAGGAGUGGCCCUCCAGUGCUGCAGCUUUCCCGGGGUCCCUGGGGAGCUGUGGCUCCUCUCUCUUGCUAUUUACCAUUCCUCUGUGAUGCUCAGGGAAUGGGUCAAGGGCACUGUCCUUGCUCUCUAUCACAGCUCAGAGGGAUCUCUGCUUUCCAGGGCAGAAAAUCUGCCUUCUUGGUCUUCCAUUUCACAGCAUGA